rnacentral:lncRNA from 1 species
UAAAACCCAAAUAAAAUAUAUAUAUAACUAAAGUCCAAACGUCCAGUUAUACAAACAAUGACCCAAAUACCUCGGCCCAAUUACAUUGAAGCCCAAAACAAAAAUAAUCACAAACAGAAACCCUAGCUAGCCUAUCGCGCCGCACAGCCUCCAGCGCCUUCGGUCUUCCUCUCUUCGCGCGCCACGCCACCACCUCCGUACGGCAGUUCUUGCGCAACACACAAACAAACAGCAAGAGAAAAGCAUAAAAAAAAAAAACAGAAAGAAAAAAGAAAUUUGUAUUCUUUUUUAUAUUUCUUUUAUUUUUGGGUUAUAAAAACCCCCAUGGAUGUACUUGAUCUUUCCUUUUUUACAGAGAGAGAUAUGGAAUAAAAAAGAUUAAAAGAAAAAGAGAAAAAGAGCAGAUUUAAGAGGUAUAUUGAUUUUUUUUUCUUUUUCGUUUUUCUUUACUGUUUUCUUUCUCUUUUUGCUUCUUUACGAAUACACUAAACAAAGAAAAAGAUAGGCUUAAGGAUGAGAGUUUACCUUCAGAGUGCGACGGUCGGAUCCCUGUUUCUCUCGUUACAAUCGGAGCAGAUAGGGAUCUAAGGGGUUGAGUUGCGAUAGUAGAUGAAAAACCAAAAGCGGCGCUCCCACUUUCUUCUGCGUUUUGAA